CUCUGAGUCAUGUAGUGUCAGGCAAAAUCCCGGGCACUGCCGGGAUCCUGAGAGCACUCCUUUAUGACAGCGUGUUACAGUAGGCAUUUUAAUAGGCACCCAAGUCACUAAGGAAAGAUCAAAUUCAUUAAGAGAGCAGGUUAGUGUAAUUUAUUAUAGAAAUAUUUCUAUCUCAAAUGAGAUAAUUUAAAAUGCCCAGGUGCUGAUGCCUGGAGGGUGGGUUUUCUGGAACAGGCUUGCGUGGGACUCCUCUUCUCUUAAUAUAACUAGAUACACGAGACAAUCCCGUGGCACUCUGAUGGUCUGGAGAACGCUGAGGCCUCUCGACAAUGUCUACCUUGUGUCCCAAAGCAGCCAUUGCAUCCCUUAGGUAACAGGCCUGUGAAACCAGCACAAGAAUUGGAUUUGGAAGGACAUUGCCCAGUAACCAGAUCUGGACAGGCCUCACCCCCAAAACAAGCUUAUGAGGUUGAUCUACUAAGGAUUUGACCUUUUUUUUUUUUUUUUAACUCUCCAAAUUUUAACCUAAUCUGUGGUAAAUAAUUCUCAAGGGAUGUUGAGGAACCACCACAAGAUAUGUGAAACACUUGCUGUAAAGGGACAGCACAGGUGACUUUGCCAAAAGCUAUUUCCCCAGUUGUCUGGAGGCUAAAUGCCAAGAUUAGUCACUGCAGUCCUUGGACGCUAGCGGCUGCAUUCCUUGGGCACCUACUAGGAGGCUGUGUAUGCUGCGUGCCCUCCGCUCCUCCACUGCCUGCAUCUUCACUGCAGCUCCUUGAGGCCGCUGUUUUCGACGAGAAAACUGAGCUUCCAAGACAUCCACUAACUCACCCAAGCUCAUCCACCCAGGAGGUAGUGAAGGUGAAUCUGCAGUUAUCCAGUGAGCCCCUGUGCAGCUGUGGCUGGGAGAACUACCCCAGGAACCCUUUCAAACACAGGGGUGAAGACGACUGAGAAAAACCAGCCCAAGCUUGGGCAAGCUGAAUACCUACAUUUGGUUCCGUCACUUUGAAGUUUAGCACAAAAGAGCAAAUGGACUUGAGAGAGAAGUGGGAUCACAACCCAGAUAACAGCACAUUCCGUGUCUGCCCUGAGGUAAAGGGCAUAACAAGGACAUAUUUGAAGCUGAAUUUCCCAUUGGGACAGUCUGAGUAAUUUCCUCAAUUAAACUGAUGGGGUGGGAUGAAGAGUGAGACCUUCAUCGAGAAGCCACAACCUAUUAAGUGGAUCCUCAUGUGGUUCAGAAUAGAGGCGGUCCCUGGAACGAGGAAACUUCCAGAGAAGGAAGAAUAACCACAGGCAUCCGGACUCAACUCUCAGAAGAGCUGGCUGAUGACAAGACGGCAAGAGGGUGUUGAGCUUUCCUGCUGUCUCUGAGGUGGGUGGGCCCAGCUGAUACGCCUAAUGUGACCCACAGCACCAGUUGGAUGGAGAGGGUUCUGGGCCUUGGGCCUGAGGCUGCCUCGCUGGGUGUGGACUCUGACCUCUGGCCCUGCUUCUUCAGUGGGAGGGCUGCUCAUCCCCAGGCUAUUGUGGGUUAAAUCCAUGGGGGCCACACGCCGGUCUGUGACCAGGCUUCCCCAGUGACCAGCAAGAUGAACAAAAAAGCAUGAGGAAAUGAGCUGUCAUAAUCACAAGUGUAUUCUGUUGAAACGUCUGCCAUUAUCCCCAUUCUUUCUCAAGUUAAAAGAAAUUCUUUUAUAAAGGAAUGGUAAUAGCAGAUAGUAGUUGUUUGUAAAAAUGUCCUCAUGGCCGGCCGUGGUGGCUCACGUCUGUAAUCCCAGCACUUUGGGAGGCCGAGAUGGUGGAUCACCUGAGGUUGGGAGUUCGAGACCAGCCUGACCAAUAUGGUGAAACCCCGUAUCUACUAAAAAUACAAAAAAAUUAGCUGGGUGUGGCUUAGCUACUCGGGAGGCUAAGGCAGGAGAAUCGCUUGAACCCGGGAGGCAGAGGUUGCGGUGAGUUAACAUCAUGCCAUUGCACACCAGCCUGGGCAACAAGAGCGAAACUCCGUCUCAAAAGAAAAAAAAAUGUCCUCACUUGAUAAAAUAUAAAUUCGCAACAACUUUGUUAUUCAUGUAAAAUGCUCUUUGUUUUGGCCUGUGAAAUAUUGUUUGAGCCUGCUGGGUCUUGAAGGAUGAGGAGGAGUUUGAGUGGCUGAGUGGUGGGCAAAGCAAACAGUGCAUGCAAAGGCCCAGAGGCACAAGAGGCCAUGGUGUGUUUGUGAAGUAGAGAAAAACCUUGUGUCGUUGAAGCCUAGAGCUAUGGGAAGGGAUCAGCAGGAGGAGAGGCUGGGGCACUCUGGGGCUUCCACACCGAGAAAGGCCUUGCCUGUGCCUCCCGGGUUUUAUACCUGUGGUAUCAGUGGGCCUCAGACUUGGACUGGGGAACAAUCUCACCAGCUGUGUGUUUUUGGAUCCAAUGCCUGGCAGUGUGAAGGGUGGGGUUGGUGUCACGGAAGCCUGGGAGGAAGGCCUUCCUCGCACAUGUGCAGACCUUCCUGGAUAUCUUGGGCCAUUUCUGAGUGUGUAUGGAGUUUGGGGUGAAGUUUUGGAUGCAGAGCUCCCUCCCUCAACCCAAAUGGGUCCCAGACUAAAACAUACACGUUUCACAAAUGUGGAAACGGAGGCACUAACGUGGCUGAUGAAUUACAGCAAAUUAAGGCUGUGAUUCUUCACUCCUUAACUCGCCCAAAUUGGACUUUGUAAAUUAUAGAUUAAAAAAUAAGACUCUUUCUUGCUAGAAAAGUCCAUCUUUUAGUCCCAUUUGGCACACCAACAUGAGGUAUUCGUUUGAGGGCAGGCAAUAGGAAUUGAGGCUAUAAUUUGCUCUGAAUUCUCUGGAACAGCAAUCCAUGACAUUGGUCAUGUUUGAAAGAAUGUCACAAGUCCUCUCAUGAGCGCUGAUCCCUCACAAUAAGUGUUGGGGUGUUUUAAUGAUGAGCCUGUUGGAAAAGCAGGUCCUUGUUGGAUGCCCCUAUGGAGUGGAGAUCAGUGUGUGAGUUAUUAGGCAUGGUUACCUGUGAUUCUCCCAAUCUUGUGCGUUCCACCGAUGGAACUGCCGGCAAAUCCUGACACGUGUGCACCCAGGCUGUACCCAAUUAGGUGAACAUGGCUUCGAGAGAGUUGCACAGAUUCCUGGAAGACAGCAGCGGGAUGGGGGCAGGAGAAGAGCUGCCUGGAUGAAAGCCUUUUGCGGUCCAGUGUGUUGUGGCGCCCACCCUGUUCUUCGUGCCUGCUCAGAAAUGAGGUGCCUUAUUCACACUCCAAACUGAAACUAAUCUCUCAACUGGCUGACUCUCCUGGGACUCAGGUACCUGUGACCUCGCCUUGUAGCUGCAGCCUCCUGCCUGCCUGUCUUCCCCUGGACACUAAUGCCCUACAGAAGUGAUCCCACUCAUUUGUGUGGGGGCUUGAUAGCUUACAGGGUGUGUUUGUAUCCCUUAGCAUGUCUAAGGGGGUGAGCAUAAGAGGAAUAGUGGAUGAGGAGAGGGGAGAAGGUGGUUCUGUGAAACAGGGGUUCAAGGGAGGCGUCUGAGAGAGCCCUGGGGUCUGGUGUCAGUCCUGUGCCUUCUCAUUCCUGUGAGCUGAGCAUUAGUGCUUCUCCUGCCUGGGCUGCUGUUGGAGACCAGCUUAAUUCAUUCACUCUCAGAGGAAGGGAAAGGAGGGAAGGGAGGUGAAGGAAGGAUGGGGCAGGUCGGUACCUCCAGCCACCGGAGAAGAGCCGCGACCUCCUUGC
rnacentral:lncRNA from 10 species